rnacentral:misc_RNA from 1 species
AUGAUACGUAUACGUUCGGUAGAAUUGGCGGAGAGAGAAAACCGAGUCGGGUGGGUGCCGCACGAGAGGCGUAUCCGCUGAGUUCUCGCGUUUCGUUUGCCACGGAUCCGGCAAGGUGAUCCGGUGGUGAGGAAUCGCUUGCGGUUCGAGCGACUCUCGGGAACCCGAGGCGGAACGAACGGCGAAAAGUGACGCAGCAACCGUAUGCAUCGCGCGUGUCGGUAAUCUCCUUUUCUCUGUCUCUCUCUCUCUUUCCUCCUUCUCUCGUUCUUUGUCUCUUACGUCUCUCUCUCUCUCUCUCUCUCUUCGUCUCUCCCCUCUCCCAACGGAGUGUCAAAGUUCCGAGACUGCUCGUCGACGUAUCCAUCGUCGGUGACCGUCGAUGUAGGUUACGAGGAGGAGAAACGAACAAACGGAACGGACGAACGAUCGGGGUGUAACUCGGCGUGGAAGUGUGACGCGGCCGGACAGCGACACGCACCUCCCACGGGGGAAGAAACGGAACGUCGUGCACGACGGCAUCGAAUGCGAGCAGGCGAGUGAGCGAGCGAGCGAGUUGGCUGGCGAGCGAACGGACAAGUGUAACGGGGAAGAGUGAGAGGAUCUCCGGAGUGCACGGAGAGAGAAGGAAAGAGAGAGCGCAGCGUCGGAUUCGGUGAGACCGUGCGAGGAUCGUCCGGGAAAGGAGUAUUGCGUGUGGAUCCCGUUGGAGGCUGUCAUAAAUGUGCACAUUCUACAUAGAUUGCGCGAUCUAUGCAUGGUCGACGGGUCGAUCUAUCAGUGGCGAGUGCUGAUCGAGCUUGACGCUCUCGCGGCAGCGAGUCGACGUUAAAUCGUCAUCGGUCGCGUACGACGUUGCGCCUGGCCGUCGCCGACGUCGUCGUCCCGCAGAAGUCAGCUAGCCCAGCGUACCUAUCUAACGGCGUGCCCCUCGACAACGCAAAGCAGGUGAUCAUGGCGAAUCGGGGUACGGCCCAAAGGCCAAAUGGAUCGACACAAGGAAAAAUUUGUCAGUUUAAACUAGUUUUACUCGGUGAAUCGGCAGUCGGAAAAUCAAGUCUUGUUCUAAGGUUUGUCAAAGGACAAUUCCAUGAAUAUCAGGAGAGUACAAUCGGCGCUGCAUUUCUAACACAAACCGUAUGUUUGGAUGACACAACUGUAAAAUUCGAAAUUUGGGAUACUGCGGGACAAGAACGUUAUCACAGUCUCGCACCGAUGUACUAUCGUGGUGCACAGGCAGCCAUUGUCGUGUACGACAUAACAAAUCAGGAUACAUUCUCACGGGCCCAGACAUGGGUAAAGGAAUUGCAGCGCCAGGCAAGUCCAAGCAUAGUAAUAGCAUUAGCUGGAAACAAGGCAGAUUUGGCAAAUAAGAGAGUCGUUGAAUACGAUGAAGCUCAAACGUAUGCGGAUGAAAAUGGCCUUCUUUUCAUGGAAACAUCGGCUAAAACGGCAAUGAAUGUCAACGACAUAUUCCUUGCAAUUGCUAAAAAGCUUCCUAAAAAUGAACAAUCAGGAAGCGCAAGUACGAGUGGUCAAGGCCGUCGACUAGUCGAGUCAGAUGGGCAAAAGGCAGCAACCGGCAAUUGUUGCAAGUGAUUAUCUAAAUCCAUAAAAGCAAACUGGAAAUAGUCAAGAAGGAUAAAAAGCGCGAAUUGAAAAUAUGUACUAUAAUCUACAAAGUAAGUACACCACGAGUGUGCUACGCGCGAUGAAUUUGAGAGGAAGACACACAACAGGGGAAAAAUACUGAGUGGGAAGUGAACUGUGUGGGACAUUCGCGAACAUUUUGCUUGAGUGAUUGUCUAAAAGUCUGCGUCUCAAUGUAAUCGACGAUAUAUCAUCUAUUUUGAGUAUCAGAUAAGAGGUGGUAAAAA